ACGCUGGCGGCGUGCCUAACACAUGCAAGUCAAGGAGAAUUCCCGACUUGUCGGGAUAGUAAACUGGCGAACGGGUGAGUAACACGUAGGUAAUCUACCCUCGGGAUCGGGAUAACCUCGCGAAAGUGGGGAUAAUACCGAAUAAAGUCUCGGUAUAAUUUGUCGAGAUGAAGGAUGGGGAUCUUCGGACCUAUUACCUGAGGAUGAGCCUGCGCCUGAUUAGCUAGUUGGUAGGGUAAAUGCCUACCAAGGCAACGAUCAGUAGCUGGUCUGAGAGGAUGAUCAGCCACAUUGGGACUGAGAUACGGCCCAGACUCCUACGGGAGGCAGCAGUGAGGAAUUUUGCGCAAUGGGCGAAAGCCUGACGCAGCAACGCCGCGUGACUGAUUAAGCUCUGAGGAGUGUAAAAGUCUGUCGUAGAGGAAGAAACUAUCCGAUAAGAAUAUUGUCGGAUACUGACGGUACUCUAUGAGAAAGCUCCGGCUAACUCCGUG
rnacentral:rRNA from 1 species